rnacentral:rRNA from 1 species
AUUGAACGCUGGCGGCAGGCCUAACACAUGCAAGUCGAACGGUAACAGGAAACAGCUUGCUGUUUCGCUGACGAGUGGCGGACGGGUGAGUAAUGUCUGGGAAACUGCCUGAUGGAGGGGGAUAACUACUGGAAACGGUAGCUAAUACCGCAUAACGUCGCAAGACCAAAGAGGGGGACCCUCGGGCCUCUUGCCAUCGGAUGUGCCCGGAUGGCACUAGCUAGUUGGUAGGGUAACGGCUUACCAAGGCAAAGAUCCGUAGCUGGUAUGAGAGGGUGAUCGGCCACACUGGAACUGAGACACGGUACAGACUCCUACGGGAGGCAGCAGUAGGGAAUCUUCGGCAAUGGGCGAAAGCCUGACGGAGCAACGCCGAGUGAGUGAUGAAGGUAUUCGGAUCGUAAAACUGUGUUAUUAGGGAAGAACAAAUGUGUAAGUAACUAUGCCCGUCUUGACGGUACCUAAUCAGAAAGCCACGGCUAACUACGUG